UACGGAGGGGGCUAGCGUUGUUCGGAAUUACUGGGCGUAAAGCGCACGUAGGCGGCUUUAUAAGUUAGAGGUGAAAGCCCAGGGCUUAACUCUGGAAUUGCCUUUAAGACUGCAUCGCUAGAAUCGUGGAGAGGUGAGUGGAAUUCCGAGUGUAGAGGUGAAAUUCGUAGAUAUUCGGAAGAACACCAGUGGCGAAGGCGACUCACUGGACACGUAUUGACGCUGAGGUGCGAAAGCGUGGGGAGCAAACAGG
rnacentral:rRNA from 1 species